GACGAACGCUGGCGGCGUGCUUAACACAUGCAAGUCGAGCGGAAAGGCCACUUCGGUGGUACUCGAGCGGCGAACGGGUGAGUAACACGUGAGUAAUCUGCCCCUGGCUUUGGGAUAGCCACCGGAAACGGUGAUUAAUACCGGAUAUGACAUGGACUCGCAUGGGUUUGUGUGGAAAGUUUUUCGGCCAGGGAUGUGCUCGCGGCCUAUCAGCUUGAUGGUGAGGUAAUGGCUCACCAUGGCUUCGACGGGUAGCCGGCCUGAGAGGGUGACCGGUCACACUGGGACUGAGACACGGCCCAGACUCCUACGGGAGGCAGCAGUGGGAAUAUUGGACAAUGGGCGGAAGCCUGAUCCAGCAACGCCGCGUGAGGGAU
rnacentral:rRNA from 1 species